CCUACGGGAGGCAGCAGUGAGGAAUAUUGGUCAAUGGUCGGGAGACUGAACCAGCCAAGCCGCGUGAGGGAUGAAGGUACAGAGUAUCGUAAACCUCUUUUGUCAGGGAACAAAGGCGGGGACGUGUCCCCGGAUGAGUGUACCUGAAGAAAAAGCAUCGGCUAACUCCGUGCCAGCAGCCGCGGUAAUACGGAGGAUGCGAGCGUUAUCCGGAUUUAUUGGGUUUAAAGGGUGCGCAGGCGGUCUGUUAAGUCAGCGGUCAAAGCCCGGGGCUCAACCCCGGCCCGCCGUUGAAACUGGCAGGCUCGAGUUGGAGAGAAGUAUGCGGAAUGCGCGGGGUAGCGGUGAAAUGCAUAGAUAUCGCGCAGAACUCCGAUUGCGAAGGCAGCAUGCCGGCUCCACACUGACGCUGAGGCACGAAAGCGUGGGUAUCGAACAGGAUUAGAUACCCCUGGUAGUC
rnacentral:rRNA from 1 species